UACGUAGGGCGCAAGCGUUGUCCGGAAUUAUUGGGCGUAAAGAGCUCGUAGGCGGUCUGUUACGUCCGCUGUGAAAACCCAGGGCUUAACCCUGGGCUUGCAGUGGAUACGGGUAGACUAGAGGCAGGUAGGGGAGAAUGGAAUUCCCGGUGUAGCGGUGAAAUGCGCAGAUAUCGGGAGGAACACCGGUGGCGAAGGCGGUUCUCUGGGCCUUACCUGACACUGAGGAGCGAAAGCGUGGGGAGCGAACAGG
rnacentral:rRNA from 1 species